GAAGUAAGCUGGGCAAUCGCCGGUGCAGUGCCGAAAGGCCGCACGGGAGGAAAGUCCGAGCUCCAUAGGGCAGGGUGCCGGAUAACGUCCGGCGAGAGCGAUCUUAGGGAAAGUGCCACAGAAAUGUAGACCGCCGAUGGUCCGUGCUUGCAUGGACACAGGUAAGGAUGCAACGGUGCGGUAAGAGCGCACCAGCAGCUCGGAGACGAGAUGGCUAGGUAAACCCCACUCGGAGCAAGACCGGAUAGGAGUGCAUAUGUGGUUGCCCGCCACGCACUCGGGUUGGUCGCUUGAGUCGGCUGGCAACAGUCGACCUAGAUAGAUGAUUGCUACUCCAAAGUGCGAGGUAUCACGAGGGCAUUACGUGUCCAUUCGAUGCCGCUUGAAGCACAGGAGCACAGAACUCGGCUUACAGGCUUGCUUCUUCA
rnacentral:RNase_P_RNA from 1 species